GCGUUAAUCGGCAUUACUGGGCGUAAAGCGUGCGCAGGCGGUGAUGUAAGACAGAUGUGAAAUCCCCGGGCUCAACCUGGGAACUUCAUUUGUGACUGCAUCGCAGGAGUACGGCAGAGGGGGAUGGAAUUCCGCGUGUAGCAGUGAAAUGCGUAGAUAUGCGGAGGAACACCGAUGGCGAAGGCAAUCCCCUGGGCCUGUACUGACGCUCAUGCACGAAAGCGUG
rnacentral:rRNA from 1 species